UGUAAUCUCUCAUCAGUGGAGGGAGCUUGUCCACUACUGGUUUUCCGAGAGAGCUCAGACAUAUUCCAAUAUUGGUAGAGCUGCUCGAGCAUCACAGACUGUUCAUCACACUUCAGGCUCCAUGAGUUAUGCGAGGCGUAGAGCUGAAUUCAUGGAUGAUAAUGGAAGGGAGCCUGGUAGGGUG